GUGAGGAAUAUUGGACAAUGGGCGCAAGCCUGAUCCAGCCAUGUCGCGUGCAGGAAGACGCAUCUAUGGUGUGUAAACUGCUUUUGUACGGGAAGAAACACUCCCUCGUGAGGGAGCUUGACGGUACCGUAAGAAUAAGGAUCGGCUAACUCCGUGCCAGCAGCCGCGGUAAUACGGAGGAUCCAAGCGUUAUCCGGAAUCAUUGGGUUUAAAGGGUCCGUAGGCGGUUUAAUAAGUCAGUGGUGAAAGCCCAUCGCUCAACGAUGGAACGGCCAUGGAUACUGUGAGACUUGAAUUACAAGGAAGUAACUAGAAUAUGUAGUGUAGCGGUGAAAUGCUUAGAUAUUACAUGGAAUACCAAUUGCGAAGGCAGGUUACUACUUGUGGAUUGACGCUGAUGGACGAAAGCGUGGGGAGCGAACAGGAUGAGAAACCCCUGUAGUCC
rnacentral:rRNA from 1 species